ACGCUGGCGGCAGGCCUAACACAUGCAAGUCGAGCGGAAACGACACUAACAAUCCUUCGGGUGCGUUAAUGGGCGUCGAGCGGCGGACGGGUGAGUAAUGCCUAGGAAAUUGCCUUGAUGUGGGGGAUAACCAUUGGAAACGAUGGCUAAUACCGCAUAAUGCCUACGGGCCAAAGAGGGGGAYCUUCGGRCCUCUCGCGUCAAGAUAUGCCUAGGUGGGAUUAGCUAGUUGGUGAGGUAAUGGCUCACCAAGGCGACGAUCCCUAGCUGGUCUGAGAGGAUGAUCAGCCACACUGGAACUGAGACACGGUCCAGACUCCUACGGGAGGCAGCAGUGGGGAAUAUUGCACAAUGGGCGAAAGCCUGAUGCAGCCAUGCCGCGUGUAUGAAGAAGGCCUUCGGGUUGUAAAGUACUUUCAGUUGUGAGGAAGGGKGURWMGUUAAUAGCKUYAUCUCUUGACGUUAGCAACAGAAGAAGCACCGGCUAACUCCGUGCCAGCAGCCGCGGUAAUACGGAGGGUGCGAGCGUUAAUCGGAAUUACUGGGCGUAAAGCGCAUGCAGGUGGUUCAUUAAGUCAGAUGUGAAAGCCCGGGGCUCAACCUCGGAACUGCAUUUGAAACUGGUGAACUAGAGUGCUGUAGAGGGGGGUAGAAUUUCAGGUGUAGCGGUGAAAUGCGUAGAGAUCUGAAGGAAUACCAGUGGCGAAGGCGGCCCCCUGGACA
rnacentral:rRNA from 2 species